UAGAAGGAGACUCAAUUGCCAUAUUAAUCUCUUUCUUCGCAUUUGAUGGAUCAGUGACGGCUGGCUUAAAAGGUUUCGAAACCUCGGACUUCUCUCCUAAUAUCGAAGGAAGUGAUUCUUCGAUCUCACGGCAUGCGGUUAAAGCUAACUGAAAAGCUUCCGCCAACCUUGUGAAAGAACCAGAAAUCUAAGACGGCAAUUUGUUAGAUAAAAACCAAAAACCAAGCGGAUAACUAAA